GCCUGGGUGGUUCAGUCAGUUAAGCAUCCAACUCCUGAUUUUGGCUCAGGUCAUGAUCUCACAGUUCGUGGGUUCGAGCCCCACAUCAGGCU
rnacentral:tRNA from 1 species